GACAGGGGGGGCGCGCCAAUCGGUGCGAGGUCGUAGGAUUGCUGUGGUGGAUUGGUGCUUGCGUCAUGAUUUACAUUUGAGUGAGUGGCGAACUGGUGAGUAACACGUGGGAAACCUGCCCAGAAGCGGGGGAUAACACCUGGAAACAGAUGCUAAUACCGCAUAACAACUUGGACCGCAUGGUCCGAGUUUGAAAGAUGGCUUCGGCUAUCACUUUUGGAUGGUCCCGCGGCGUAUUAGCUAGAUGGUGGGGUAACGGCUCACCAUGGCAAUGAUACGUAGCCGACCUGAGAGGGUAAUCGGCCACAUUGGGACUGAGACACGGCCCAAACUCCUACGGGAGGCAGCAGUAGGGAAUCUUCCACAAUGGACGAAAGUCUGAUGGAGCAACGCCGCGUGAGUGAAGAAGGGUUUCGGCUCGUAAAACUCUGUUGUUGAAGAAGAACAUAUCUGAGAGUAACUGUUCAGGUAUUGACGGUAUUUAACCAGAAAGCCACGGCUAACUACGUGCCAGCAGCCGCGGUAAUACGUAGGUGGCAAGCGUUGUCCGGAUUUAUUGGGCGUAAAGCGAGCGCAGGCGGUUUUUUAAGUCUGAUGUGAAAGCCUUCGGCUCAACCGAAGAAGUGCAUCGGAAACUGGGAAACUUGAGUGCAGAAGAGGACAGUGGAACUCCAUGUGUAGCGGUGAAAUGCGUAGAUAUAUGGAAGAACACCAGUGGCGAAGGCGGCUGUCUGGUCUGUAACUGACGCUGAGGCUCGAAAGUAUGGGUAGCAAACAGGAUUAGAUACCCUGGUAGUCCAUACCGUAAACGAUGAAUGCUAAGUGUUGGAGGGUUUCCGCCCUUCAGUGCUGCAGCUAACGCAUUAAGCAUUCCGCCUGGGGAGUACGGCCCGCAAGGCUGAAACUCAAAGGAAUUGACGGGGGCCCGCACAAGCGGUGGAGCAUGUGGCUUUAAUUCGAAGCUACGCGAAGAACCCUUACCAGGUCUUGACAUACUAUGCAAUCUAGAGAUUAGACGUUCCUUUCGGGAACAUGAUACAGUGCUGCAUGAUGUCGUCAGCUCGUGUCGUGAGAUGUGGUUAAGUUCCCGCACGAGCGCACCUUAUUAUCAGUUGCCAGCAUUAAGUGGUCACUCUGGGUGAGACUGCCGGUGACAACCGAGGAAGGGUGGGGAUGACGUCAUCAUCAUUCCCUUAUGAACUGGGGCCUAACACCAGGUGUCUU
rnacentral:rRNA from 2 species